rnacentral:rRNA from 1 species
AGCAGCCGCGGUAAUUCCAGCUCCAAUAGCGUAUAUUAAAGUUGCUGCAGUUAAAAAGCUCGUAGUUGAAUUUCGGGAUCAAUAUGUUGGUCGUGCCUUGGUACGUACUAGCUCAUUGGUUUCUCCCUUCUGACGAACCAUGAUGUCAUUAAUUUGAUGUCAAGGGGAAUCAGGACUGUUACUUUGAAAAAAUUAGAGUGUUUAAAGCAGGCUCGCGCUUGAAUACAUUAGCAUGGAAUAAUGAAAUAGGACAUUUGAUUCUAUUUUGUUGGUUUCUAGGAUCGAUGUAAUGAUUAAUAGGAUAGUUGGGGGCAUUAGUAUUCAAUUGUCAGAGGUGAAAUUCUUGGAUUUAUUGAAGACUAACUACUGCGAAAGCAUUUGCCAAGGAUGUUUUCAUUA